GAUAAAUUAGAAUGUUUUUUUUCUUAUCUAAUUUUGAUUCUAAUGUUACAUUAAUUAUAUUAAUUUAUUUACACGUAAAUAAUUUAAUAUGUUAUAUUGAAUUUUUAUUAUUUAUGUUGUAAAUAUUGUAAUUUUUCAUUUUUUUGUCAAACAUGUUUUUUAAUUAAUUUUAGGUAAAUUAUUUAAUUAUGGUGACAAUAGUUUUGAUUACUGAGGAUAAUAAAGUGGAACUUGGACAAUCAUAUUGGAUCACAUAAUAAAUGUGCCUGGCCUAAUAAGAAUGUACAAAAUAAUUUAAAAAAGAAUUGAAAUCAAUGAUAUUGAAUUUAAAUAACUUAAAUGAAUAAUAUUGAAGAGAAACAUUAGUAAUUAAUCAGUGGUUUUUUCAAUGUUGAAUUUAAGCCAAACUUUAAGUAGCACAGUACGCUAGUGACUUAUCACAGUCAGAAGAAACUUGUUACCAAAAAAAAGUUCUAAGAUGAUUGAAGAACCUACACAAUUAUGAAAAAAAUCAAGACAAACCAAAAAGAAAAAAAAGAACACUGGUGCGGUAUGACUUAAUCAAUCACCUCUGCACAAUCCAAAAUUAUCUGAUGAUCUUAAUGCUCAAACAAAGUGUUAUGAAUUUGAUACCGAAAACUCAUUCCCAAAACGAAGUCCUCAAAUAAUUUCUGCCUUCUCAAAAAUUUAUAAAGUUAAAUCUCUAAGUUAAGUACAUAUUAAAUUAUAUAUUAUAACAACUGAAAUUAUUUUAAUGUUGCAAUAUUAAAAAUUAUUAUUUAUCUACUAUUUAUAAAUAGUAGAUAUUAAUGUUUUCUAUUAUAUAUAUAUAUAUAUUAGA